UACGGGGGGAGCAAGCGUUGUUCGGAUUUACUGGGCGUAAAGGGCGCGUAGGCGGUCAGCACAAGUCAGUUGUGAAAUCUCCGGGCUUAACUCGGAAAGGUCAACUGAUACUGUGCGGCUAGAGUGCGGAAGGGGCAACUGGAAUUCUCGGUGUAGCGGUGAAAUGCGUAGAUAUCGAGAGGAACACCUGCGGCGAAGGCGGCUUUCUGGGCCGACACUGACGCUGAUGCGCGAAAGCCUGGGGAGCGAACAGG
rnacentral:rRNA from 1 species